rnacentral:snRNA from 1 species
AUCGCUUCUCGGCCUUUUGGCUAAGAUCAAGUGUAGUACAAAUAUUUCCUGCCAGUCUGUGGUUCAUCUUUUCAUUUUUUUAAAAAUUAAAGUUCUUUCUGAAGGACCUUUU